GGUAAUUCUUCAUAUCCUCUUUACCCUAAUGAUUUAUCACUUGUAUAAAGUUAUAAACCACCCCUGCCGUCAUGUAGCAGUAUUCGGCUUCUCUUUUCUUUAUCUUUCAGUUUUUGAUUCUGAUUCUACCCAUUUAGAUGUCAUAUUUACCAUAGCCAUCGUCAUGUAGCUGCAGAGGCUUUUUUCUAAUUCAGGCUAGUACAACUGCCCCAUCGAUUAUUUCGACAACUACUUUGUUGAAGUGGCAAUAUCAAGAAAUGAGAUGGCAGUCAACUGGGAGUUUAUUCACUCGGUUUAUUUAUUUUUGGCACUUUAUUUACUGUUUGUUUUGAAUAAGUCUAGAAGUAGUGGUGCACUUUCUCAGUUAGUUGCUGAUUUUGUGGAUCAUCAGUUAGUUAUUUCUUUUGUUGCUUUGUUAUUUAAGGAUUUUGUUGUUCUGCAGUUUUAUUAUUUAGAAAUAGAGCAAGCAUUUGGCUCAAUAUCCUUGUUUUUGUCUUUGUUUUUGAAUCACUAAGUCACAGCAGAAUCCAUACCAAUUUCUUCAUA